rnacentral:lncRNA from 1 species
GGGCUCUGUUCUCAGCGUGUGAUGCGCAUUACAUCGUAAGGUGGGGAGCUCCCAGAGAGUCAGGUUUGGUUCUGCCUUGGCUCAGUGUCUCCAGUGUGACCCACGACAGGGUCCAGCCCAGAGGGGGUCUCCACGCCUGAAGUCGCAUAUGUGGUUCCAACAGGCCUGGCUUGGAGAGCCAGCCCGGGAGGCAGGCAGCGGCUGGUGCCUCUUGAGCUCCCCCGGGACACCUGGA